UCUCUGGAGGUCCAGUGGUCAGGAUUCUGCACUGCCAAUGCAGCGGACAAGGGUUUGAUCCCUGGUCAGGGCA
rnacentral:tRNA from 1 species